UACGUAGGGGGCUAGCGUUGUCCGGAUUUAUUGGGCGUAAAGAGCGUGUAGGCGGCCAGGUAGGUCUGCUGUGAAAACUCGAGGCUCAACCUCGAGACGUCGGCGGAAACCAUCUGGCUCGAGUCCGGAAGAGGAGAGUGGAAUUCCUGGUGUAGCGGUGAAAUGCGCAGAUAUCAGGAAGAACACCCGUGGCGAAGGCGGCUCUCUGGGACGGUACUGACGCUGAGACGCGAAAGCGUGGGGAGCGAACAGG
rnacentral:rRNA from 1 species